GCCAGUAAAUAUAUGCUCUUUUCUAAGAUUAAGCCAUGCACGUUUCAGUUCAUACAUUUCAACUGUGAGACUGCGGAAGGCUCAGUAUAUCAGUUAUAAUCUAUUUGAUUGUACAGCCCAAUGGAUAACCGUGGGAAAUCUAGAGCUAAUACAUGCACACCUAUUUGAUAGGCCUUAAACCUAUCAAGGCAUUUAUUAGACUAAUACCAACUGUAUGUUAGUGGUAAACCCAUCAACGUACAAGGUGAAUCUAGAUAACUUUGCCGAUCGCAUGGCUUCGGGCCGGCGACGUUUCAAUUGAAUUUCUGCCCUAUCAACUGGUUGGUAAGGUUGAGGCUUACCAAGGUGGCGACGGGUAACGGGGGAUCAGGGUUCGAUUCCGGAGAGGGAGCCUGAGAAAUGGCUACCACAUCCAAGGACGGCAGCAGGCGCGCAAAUUACCCAAUCCAGACAAUGGGAGGUGGUGACGAGAAAUACUAGUCAGUGUCUCAAAAGGACGCUGAUCUGGAAUGGACGCAAUUUAAGCAAUUCGAUGAGUAACAACUGGAGGGCAAGUCUAGUGCCAGCAGCCGCGGUAAUUCUAGCUCCAGUGGUGUAUUUUAAUGUUGCUGCGUUUAAAACGCUCGUAGUUGGAUUACGCAGUGUGAGUCGGUCAAUUAGCAGAGCUUCACAUCAAAACCGAGGCGUUGCUAUUACGAACAUGGUUUCCUUGAACGUGAUACAGCGUCUCGGUGUGUUGCAUGUUGAUUAUCAGCCGGCCCACACUACUUGUACGUAAGGAUGGCGGUUGACCUUUGGUGCGUUGACUGUUCGUGUCUUACGGAGUGUGCCUUGAAUAAAUCAGAGUGCUCAAAGCAGGCUUACGCUUGAAUGUUAAUAGCAUGGAACGAACAAUUGUGUUAUACGUGUCUAUGCUUACUGUUGRAUGGAUUUAUUUUGUUUAAUAGUAAGUGUAGUUCACAUCACCAACCGCCAAUAACGGAUGUUGGUUUCCGUAUUGGGGUGAUGAUUAAAAGGAGCGAUUGGGGGCAUUGGUAUUUGGCCGCGAGAGGUGAAAUUCUUGGACCGGCCAAGGACUAACAAAUGCGAAGGCAAUUGCCAAGAUCGUUUCCAUUAAUCAAGAACGACAGUCCGAGGUUCGAAGUCGAUCAGAUACCGACUUAGUUCGGACCGUAAACUAUGCCGACCCGAGAUCAGUUUUGAGCUAAUUAAACGCUCGAGGUUGCUCUCCCUGGGAAACCUCAAGUUUUUAGGUUACGGGGGGAGUAUGGUUGCAAAGCUGAAACUUAAAGGAAUUGACGGAAGGGCACCACCAGGGGUGGAGCCUGCGGCUUAAUUUGACUCAACACGGGAAAACUCACCUGGUCCGGACAUCGAAAGGAUAGACAGACUGAUAGAUCUUUCUUGAUACGUUGGUUGGUGGUGCAUGGCCGUUCUUAGUUCGUGGAGUGAUCUGUCAGGUUGAUUCCGGUAACGGACGAGACCAUAUUCUCCAUUUGAGGAAUGCAAAAACUCAGUCAGGGUGUGUUGGUUCGCCAAUACAUUUUGUCUGUAGCUGGUAGUUACUGAAUAACUGAAUUUGGUCUUUUAUUGUAAAGUUAAAGUCCAACUUUGGCYGAGCAGUUUGGGAUUGAAUUUGGGGAUGCUGUACUCCUUUGCAAUAAACGGUGGCAGGAAACUGUUCACUGUCUUAUGGAGAGACAACGGUGAAUACGUCAAAGACCGAGGACGUGUGGCGAUAACAGGUCUGUGAUGCCCUAAGAUGUUCAGGGCCGCACGCGCGCUACAAUGAUAACGUCAGCGAGUAUCUGGGUUGUCAAACCUGGGUAAUCUUGUCAAUCGUUAUCGUGAUGGGGAUUGAUCGUUGUAAUUGUCGAUCAUGAAAGAGGAAUCCCUAGUAUGUGCACUUCAUUAGAGUGUACAGAUUAAGUCCCUGCCCUUUGUACACACCGCCCGUCGCUACUACCGAGUGAAUGGUGUCAUGAUGCUUUGGGACUGGACGUCGUUCGCUUUUAACGAAGCGAAAU
rnacentral:rRNA from 1 species